rnacentral:rRNA from 1 species
GACGAACGCUGGCGGCGUGCUUAACACAUGCAAGUCGAGCGAUGAAGCACCUUCGGGUGUGGAUUAGCGGCGAACGGGUGAGGAACACGUGAGGAAUCUGCCUUCCACUCUGGGAUAACUCCGGGAAACCGGGGCUAAUACCGGAUACUUUCAACUGGCGGCAUCGCCGGUUGAAGAAAGUUUUUCGGUGGAAGAUGACCUCGCGGCCUAUCAGCUUGUUGGUGAGGUAAUGGCUCACCAAGGCGACGACGGGUAGCCGGCCGGAGAGGGCGACCGGCCACACUGGGACGGAGACACGGCCCAGACUCCUACGGGAGGCAGCAGUGGGGAAUAUUGGGCAAUGGAGGAAACUCUGACCCAGCGACGCCGCGUGAGGGAUGAAGGCCUUCGGGUUGUAAACCUCUUUCAGCAGGGAAUAAGCGAAAGUGACGGUACCUGCAGAAGAAGCACCGGCUAACUAUGUGCCAGCCGCCGCCGUAA